CGGGUGAGUAACGCGUGGGUAACCUGCCUCACACUGGGGGAUAUCAGCUAGAAAUAGCUGCUAAUACCGCAUAAGCGCACGGUUCCGCAUGGAACAGUGUGAAAAACUCCGGUGGUGUGAGAUGGACCCGCGUCUGAUUAGCCAGUUGGCGGGGUAACGGCCCACCAAAGCGACGAUCAGUAGCCGGCCUGAGAGGGUGAACGGCCACAUUGGGACUGAGACACGGCCCAA
rnacentral:rRNA from 1 species